GACAAGUUUGGGACCUUACGGCAAGUGCUCAGCCCUUACUCACUGUCCUUGUUAGUGAGUUGGCAUCCCCAGCAGCGCCACCAGCAUCCUCUGUGGUGAGCCAGAGCCCUGUCAGCUGAAACUUCCAAACACUUCUGUCAAAGAGGGCUCCAAAAUCAUAUGGACCAGAAGACAAUCUGCUUUACAAUCAGACGUGCUUCUGAAGACAAGAGGAUGAAGAGAAAGCAGUGGGGAAGGAGGGCCACCCCAUGAUCUGGGGCAGCUGAAUAAAGAAACCUCUGGGCCGGGCGCAGUGGCUCAUGCCUGUAAUCCCAGCACUUUGGGAGGCUGAGGCGGGUGGAUCACCUGAGGUCAGGAGUUCAAGACCAGCCUGGCCAACAUUGGGAAACCCCGUCUCUACUAAAAAUACAAAAGAUUAGCUGGGCAUGGCGGCGGGCGCCUGUAAUCCCAGCUACUUGGG
rnacentral:lncRNA from 1 species